rnacentral:rRNA from 1 species
GAUGAACGCUGGCGGCGUGCCUAAUACAUGCAAGUCGAGCGAACGGACGAGAAGCUUGCUUCUCUGAUGUUAGCGGCGGACGGGUGAGUAACACGUGGAUAACCUACCUAUAAGACUGGGAUAACUUCGGGAAACCGGAGCUAAUACCGGAUAAUAUUUUGAACCGCAUGGUUCAAAAGUGAAAGACGGUCUUGCUGUCACUUAUAGAUGGAUCCGCGCUGCAUUAGCUAGUUGGUAAGGUAACGGCUUACCAAGGCAACGAUGCAUAGCCGACCUGAGAGGGUGGUCGGCCACACUGGAACAUGGACACGGUCCAGACUCCUACGAGAGGCAGCAGUAGGGAAUCUUCCGCAAUGGGCGAAAGCCUUACGGAGCAACGCCGCGUGAGUGAUGAGGGUCUUCGGAUCGUAAAACUCUGUUAUUAGGGAAGAACAUAUGUGUAAGUAACUGUGCACAUCUUGACGGUACCUAAUCAGAAAGCCACGGCUAACUACGUG